AAAUGUUCAUCCACCUUACUUGGACCGAGAGUAAGCGUCCUACGAGAGAAAAUGUGAGUCAGUGAUUCCUACAACAUCUGUUAAUCUCUACCACUUGGUGCGGAAGACUCGUGAAAGUGGACAUUUCUGUGGCCAUGAUUCAUGUUGUCCGAUGACUGGCCAAGUGGAGAACUUGUUCUGUUGACUGGAGUUUGGAAACAUAUUCCCCAUUUGCAGAUUCCAGACUUGUCCACAGGCACUGCAGUGUGUUACUCAAAAUGCAUGCCGUUUGAAAAGGAAUUUCUUUGUUGUUAGUACUAAUGUCCUUUGGGAUGCCCUAAAAUCAUGCCAGGAGCUCGAUAAAUUGAGGUCUGUCUGCUUUUCUUCUUUCGUAAAGUAUUGCCCCUGAGGUAGCUACGUUCUUC